UCUCUCUCUCUCUCUCGUUCAAGCUCGUGAACCCCCCAUCCAAAGUUCAUCAAUCUCAAAAACCCAAUUCCAAAACAAACCCAGUUCGUCCCCCACCUCUCAAAUCCUCGGCAGGGACAGCGCUGCGAUUUCAAAAAUCUAGCUGGGCCAGGGUAGUGGGCUGCUGUGACGGCGUCAUAUGGCGAGGAAAACCCAGAAAGCCCAACGAAGCUUCCAGAUCCGCCCCAUGGAUUUUGUGAGGCUCUAAUGCCGAAGCUCUGGCGCUCUGACUACUACACAGAGCCACGGAUCCAAGAACUAGCUGCCAAGGAAAGAGCAUAACCAAGGUUCUGCUGCCACGUCAAGCAAAAACCCACAAUCUCUAGAUUUGCAGUGGAAAACCAACAUCGGUGAUAUCCAGAAAGCACCAGUGUCUGUUCUGUUUCUUUGGGGGGUUCUUGUAUUCUUUUAGUUCUGUAAGUUUAUUUGGCCGUUUGGCACUUCUUCAACCAUGUAUUGAUGAUUGUUUUCACUCUUUUAGUUUUGUAAGAGAAAGUAUAUUGGACUUCUGAACUAAU